ACUGGCAGUUUUAUCUAUGGCACGAUCCACACCUGAUUUACAUCCUAGGCCCCACCCCCAUCCUCAUGGGAUUCGCUGCUCCUGCUUCCCUGCCCGCCUCCGGCAAAGUGUUAAAAGGGCCCCUUCCUGAACACGGGGCUCUCGCUCUCCUCGCUAGCUCCUCUCCUCUCUCUCCUCUCUGCUCUCUCUGCUCUGUCUCUCUCUCCUCUGUCUCUCUCUCUCCUCUGUCUCUCUCUCCUCUCUCUCCUCACUCUCUCCUCUGUCUCUCUCCUCGCUAGCUCUCUCUCCUCUCUGCUCUCUCUCCUCUCUGUCUCUCUCUCUCCUCGCUCUCUCUCCUCUCUGCUCUCUCUCUCACUCUCUCUCCUCGCUAGCUCCUCUCCUCUGUCUCUCCCUCUUAUACUCUCCUCUCUUUCCCUCCUCACCCCUCCCCUCCUGCCUGCUGGGUUUCCCCAGUAAACCCCCUCCCUUACUCCAGUGUUUGGUGUGUUUUGUGACGGCUAACUUUGGUGCGUUGGCCGGGAAAACCUUACCUUGCUGACCCCGCGUCCCCCAUGACUUUGCUGUCCCUUUGAGGAUCUCUGAGCUGCUCUGGGGUCCUGAUUCCUGCCGGUCACAAAACACAGCCCCGGAACUCCUUCCACGCCACCAAACACUCCACAGUCUCCAUCCACACACCGGCCUUCCAAAUUCUGAGCUCCCGUGUCCCGUCGGCUUUCUCCAGGAAUCAGGGCCUCGGCCAUCCUCUGCUGCCUUUGUCCGCCAACUCGCCAGUGUAAGAAGUGUCACCAAGGGGCCGGCGUCGUGGCACGGGGACGAGGCCACUGCUGACGAUGCCGAAUCCUAACCGGACGCAGGUUCCCGUCCCACGUGCUCCACUUCAGCUAAUGCGUCUGAGAAAGCAGCAAAAGAUGCGCCCAAGGGCUUGGGCCCCUGCCACCCGCGUGAGAGACCGGGUUGGAGUUCCAGGCUCCUGACUUUGGACCGGCCCAACUCCAGCCGUUGAAGCCAUGUGGGGAGUGAACCAGUGGAUGGAAGACCUCUCUGUCUCUCCCUCUUUCUUGUAAUGCCGCCUUUCAAAUAGAUCUUUAAAAAAAUUAAAAUCACCCAGUUUA